UACGUAGGGGGCAAGCGUUGUCCGGAUUUAUUGGGCGUAAAGAGCGUGUAGGCGGCCAGACAGGUCAGCUGUGAAAACUCGAGGCUCAACCUCGAGACGUCGGUUGAAACCGUCUGGCUAGAGUCCGGAAGAGGAGAGUGGAAUUCCCGGUGUAGCGGUGAAAUGCGCAGAUAUCGGGAAGAACACCCGUGGCUAAGGCGGCUCUCUAGUACGGUACUGACGCUGAGACGCGAAAGCGUGGGGAGCAAACAGGG
rnacentral:rRNA from 1 species